GGCACCAGCCCAAUCAGGCUCCACGGAGGUCAGGCCUAGUUGCUGGAAUCCUGGGAGCAGAGAAGUUCUAUUUCAGUUGGGAGUUGAGGGGUGGUGAUGUCAGCCUGUGGCAGUUGGUGACUAUCUUGCUCUCGUAAAGGCAGAGCCAUGUGAAGAUGACACCAGUGGCAGAGCCCAGAGGUGGGGAAAGAUGACUUCUGCUGAUGUCACUGAGCACCAGGUACAGCUCUGCCUGAAGCUAUCUCCUUGUGGAUGUCUCAGUUAGGCUGUCUGCUGCAUGAGAAUGGAGACCUGCCUGCUUCACUCCCUGCUGUGCCCGGUAUAUGGAACCCGCCCAACACACAGUAGGACCUCAGCGAAUGUGUGACGGGUGUGUGAUCACUGUAGGCCACAGACAAAGGUCUUCCCAGCAGUGAUGAAACCCUGUGACAGAUCCUGUCCACAGCACCCUGCUCCUCCGAUCCUGACCCCAGGCUUUCCCAUGGGGUGUGACCCCGCAUGGGGUGCAGUCCCCUCCUCCAGUCUGACGUCAGUAAUCUUGGACCCGUUCUUGGAGCAGAGAAUUGAGUACCUUCCUAAAGUGUACGUUGACACUCCAUAUGUUUCUGCCAGUAUCAGCGAGGUUCAAUAUGUCUCAUGAAUGUCUUUUGAGCCUGGUAUUCUCAACAGAAGUCUCCAUGCCAGUAUUCUCCAUUGUAGCAGAACAACUCUCAUCAAUGUGUUCGCAUCUCACCUCAAUUUGUGCAGCCAGCUUUUCUGCCAACUUCCUUCAUGUCUCCUAUAAAGUCAAAUUCUAAAGGACAGGGCAAGUCUGAAAGUACCUCGGAGCCUCACCUGUAAGCUGAUGACAGGCAGAUCUUCCACUAUCUGCCCUUUCAGAUUCUGGAAACUGACCCGUGAACUCAGGCCAUUGCGCAGCACGAGUAUCUCGAACUUACACAGAUUCCAGAAAAAGAGACUUAAGCCAAGCUCCAUAGAGGGCGGUACCGCCUUCAUGACACUGAUCCACCCACAGAAUUCUGCCCAGUUAACUUGGAUCCACCAGCCACAACAAUCCUGGCAGAACACACCAAGAUUC